rnacentral:rRNA from 1 species
UACAGAGGUCUCAAGCGUUGUUCGGAUUCAUUGGGCGUAAAGGGUGUGUAGGUGGCGCCGUAAAGUCGGGUGUGAAAUUUCGGAGCUUAACUCCGAAACUGCAUUCGAUACUGGCGUGCUUGAGGACUGGAGAGGAGACUGGAAAUUCAUGGUGUAGCAGUGAAAUGCGUAGAGAUCAUGAGGAAGACCAGUGGCGAAGGCGGGUCUCUGGACAGUUCCUGACACUGAGACACGAAGGCCAGGGGAGCAAACGGG